UACGUAGGGUGCGAGCGUUAAUCGGAAUUACUGGGCGUAAAGCGUGCGCAGGCGGUUUUGUAAGCCAGAUGUGAAAUCCCCGGGCUUAACCUGGGGGCUGCAUUUGAUACGUGUUGUCUUGAGUUCGGAAGAGGGUCGUGGAAUUCCCAGUGUAGAGGUGAAAUUCGUAGAUAUUGGGAAGAACACCGGUGGCGAGGGCGGCGACCUGGUCCGACACUGACGCUGAGGCGCGAAAGCGUGGGGAGCAAACAGG
rnacentral:rRNA from 1 species